AACGAACGCUGGCGGCAUGCCUAACACAUGCAAGUCGAACGAGACCUUCGGGUCUAGUGGCGCACGGGUGCGUAACGCGUGGGAACCUGCCCUUAGGUUCGGAAUAACUCCCCGAAAGGGGUGCUAAUACCGGAUAAUGUCUUCGGACCAAAGAUUUAUCGCCUUUGGAUGGGCCCGCGUUGGAUUAGCUAGUUGGUAGGGUAAAAGCCUACCAAGGCGACGAUCCAUAGCUGGUCUGAGAGGAUGAUCAGCCACACUGGGACUGAGACACGGCCCAGACUCCUGCGGGAGGAAGCAGUGGGGAAUAUUGGACAAUGGGCGAAAGCCUGAUCCAGCAAUGCCGCGUGAGUGAUGAAGGCCUUAGGGUUGUAAAGCUCUUUUACCCGGGAUGAUAAUGACAGUACCGGGAGAAUAAGCUCCGGCUAACUCCGUG
rnacentral:rRNA from 1 species